CUACGGGAGGCAGCAGUGGGGAAUCUUGCACAAUGGAGGAAACUCUGAUGCAGCGAUGCCGCGUGAGUGAAGAAGGCCCUUGGGUUGUAAAGCUCUUUUGUCGGGAAAGAUAAUGACUGUACCCGAAGAAUAAGGUCCGGCUAACUUCGUGCCAGCAGCCGCGGUAAUACGAAGGGACCUAGCGUAAUUCGGAAUUACUGGGCGUAAAGCGCGCGUAGGCGGUUAAGUAAGUUAAUUGUGAAAGCCCAAAGCUCAACUUUGGAAUUGCAAUUAAAACUACUUAGCUAGAGUUUAUCAGAGGAAAGCGGAAUACAUAGUGUAGAGGUGAAAUUCGUAGAUAUUAUGUAGAACACCAGUUGCGAAGGCGGCUUUCUGGGAUAACACUGACGCUGAGGUGCGAAAGUAUGGGUAGCGAAGAGGAUUAGAUACCCUCGUAGUCCAUACCGUAAACGAUGAUUGUUAGAUGUUGGAAAUUUAUUUUCAGUAUCACAGCUAACGCGUUAAACAAUCCGCCUGGGGAGUACGACCGCAAGGUUAAAACUCAAAGGAAUUGACGGA
rnacentral:rRNA from 1 species